GACGAACGCUGGCGGCGUGCUUAACACAUGCAAGUCGAACGGAAAGGCCCUGCUUUUGUGGGGUGCUCGAGUGGCGAACGGGUGAGUAACACGUGAGUAACCUGCCCUUGACUUUGGGAUAACUUCAGGAAACUGGGGCUAAUACCGGAUAGGAGCUCCUGCUGCAUGGUGGGGGUUGGAAAGUUUCGGCGGUUGGGGAUGGACUCGCGGCUUAUCAGCUUGUUGGUGGGGUAGUGGCUUACCAAGGCUUUGACGGGUAGCCGGCCUGAGAGGGUGACCGGCCAAAUUGGGACUGAGAUACGGCCCAGACUCCUCCGGGAGGCAGCAGUGGGGAAUAUUGCACAAUGGGCGGAAGCCUGAUGCAGCAACGCCGCGUGCGGGAUGACGGCCUUCGGGUUGUAAACCGCUUUCGCCUGUGACGAAGCGUGAGUGACGGUAAUGGGUAAAGAAGCACCGGCUAACUACGUG
rnacentral:rRNA from 1 species